rnacentral:rRNA from 1 species
UACAGAGGUGCCGAGCGUUAGGCGGAAUCACUGGGCUUAAAGCGUGUGUAGGCGGACUUCUAAGUACCUUGUGAAAUCCCACGGCUCACCCGUGGAACUGCUGGGUAUACUGGUCGUCUUGAGCCACCUAGGGGCGAGCGGAACAAAUGGUGGAGCGGUGAAAUGCGUAGAUAUCAUUUGGAACGCCAACGGUGAAAACAGCUCGCUGGGGGUGUGCUGACACUGAGACACGAAAGCCAGGGGAGCAAACGGG